rnacentral:lncRNA from 1 species
AGACGCCGUUGACGUCGCGCACCCGACGCAUAUGCGUCCACAGACCGCCGGCGUGACGGAAAAACUGGCGGUGGCAAAAGUAGACGUAGCGCACCGAGUCGACGGGUUCCAACGCUGCGUGCGCACAUUGUCUCGAUCGAGCGCGCUCCUCGGCCACCAGUCGCUCGGUGGCCUCUUGCGACGAGACCACGUCGGCCGCCCAUGCGAUGGACGCCGGCAGGGCACACUCGUCGUCGACAUUGUCUUUGCAUUUGGCGUCUCUGUUGUCGGUCGUCGCGGCGGACCGCCAUCGCGUCACAGCCUCGCAAAAGGCCACGACGACCGCAUUCUCGCGGUGCAUGCACAAGACGGAUUCGGGCAUCGAACAAUAACGACCAUAGACAUGGCAAGUGUCUGGCGGUGCAUGCGCAGCCGACGCGGGCGCGCGCGAAAAACGCCGGGCAAUCUCUUUGGCGGCGCGGUAGACCAGGAUCGCGCUGGUUGGAUCGCCGACAACGUCGGGCAAGAGCGCGAUGCACGCGCGAUGGACGGCGGCCACAAACGUGGCCUCGCGCGCAAUCAGUGUGCUAUCUUUGGGUACGCCGUCGAGAAGCGUGCCACGGCGCGACGAUCCGUGGCGCCACACGAGGGCAAAGUCCGGGUGACGCAUGCUCGCGCAGGCGGCCGCGCAAAAGGUCUCGUACGCCUCGUGUGCCAAGUUGUCAUCUACGCCAUCGCGUCCCGUCGGAUUGAUUAGUGGCAGUGCACUCGCGGCAACCGCAUUGUUGGGCGGCGCGAUCGAGUCGUAUCCGUCGUUCGAGACCGACGCGCGUCCACAUCGCGUCGCACGCCACGGUCCCCCGGCGACCUCGCGGGCAAAGCACGCGGCCGACGGAUCGAGGUGAAAGGCGCAGACGUCGGGCGCGGCGCGUGGCUCGACGAAAAAGGGCCUCAUGCGGGCGUCCACGAGGGCGCGAUUGAAGCGGUCUUCGGUGUCGUCAUUGUCUUUGCCAAAGGACGCCACCACGGCAAGCGCCUGCUCGCGGUCCGUGAUGGUGUCUUGUGUCGGUUCCUGCAUGUCCUUGCGCCUGUCGUCGUACCGCUCCGCCGUGGCGCUCCGUCGUCGCGCCCUUUUUGGACACCAAAGAAAAAAAGAAAAU